GGUCGGUUGUGUAGUGUAGCUGGUUAGCACAUCGGAUUCUGAUGUUAUUAGACUUUCCGGGGACCUGAGUUCGAAUCUCGGCACGACCUG